CCUUGAAUAUCAGGCAAAGUAAUUUCACAGUCACAGAUUGCAAGGCUAGUAUACUGGUUAAGUUUUGUGAGGACAGCUCUUUGUGCACAGUGGUAGGGUUCCACGAGCAUCAUAAUCAUCUGUUUGUUGAGCGUUUUAAUCAUGACCUAAGCAGGAUUUCAAGGAAACUACCCUUUUCAUCCAAACAGUUUAUCCAUAACAUGAGUUUGAACAUAAUUGAUCCAGUUGUUUCUCAAAGAGUGUUAGUGUCUAUGAUGGGUGGACAUCACAACGUACGUGGCACGCCAACUGAUUUUAAGAAUUUGAGCCAGUCGGUUAGGCUUUAUAUUGGUGACCGUGAUGCGCAACUUGUUAUAGAUCGUUUGAAAGAAAGAUCGGAGAGCUUACCAGACUUUUACUAUGAGUUUGUGGUUGAGAAAGGGCAAUUGAGGUCGAUUUUUUGGGCAGACGAAAUUUCUAAGAUAAAUUAUGAGGUGUUUGGUGAUGUGUUAGCUUUUGAUGCGACUUAUCACACUAACAAGUACAACAUGAUUUUUGUUCCUUUCACCGGGGUUGAUAAUCACAAACAAUGUGUGACAUUCGGUGUUGGCUUGCUAUUCAAUGAAACGACUGAGUCUUACAAGUGGUUAUUUGAAUCAUUUAUGAUGGCACACAAGAAGCAACCAAAGUUAGUUCUGACGGACUAGGACCCUUCAAUGAAAGCUGCCAUUUCUGAGGUUUUCACAGAGUCUCGGCACUGCCUUUGCAUGUGGCAUAUUAUGAAGAAACUUCCUACUAAGAUUGCUGGAGACCUGUUACAAAACUCUGAGCUAAGGGCAUUGAUGCAUCGUUUGGUGUGGAGUAUUCAGAUGAAGCCAUCUACAUUUGAGAUGCAUUGGCAACUUUUGAUGGAGGAAUAUGGGUUACAAUAUCAUGACUGGUUGAAUGAUAUGUACUCAAUUAGGGACCAAUGGGUACCUGCCUACUUCCGUGAUAUCCCAAUCUAUUGUCUGAUGAAGACUACAUCAAGUAGUGAAAAUUCUAACUCAAGCUUCAAGGUCAACUCUUCUAGUGCUAACACACUAGUUCAGUUCAUGCUAUGUUAUGAAACUAGGAUAGACAAUCAGCGUUACAGGCAACGUGUUGCAGAGUUUAAAACUUCAUCCAGUGUAUUCAUGGACACUACUCAGAUAGCUAUCGAGAAGCACGCUUUUGAGUUGUACACACAUGCCAUUUUCACAUAAGUAAGAAAAGAGAUAUACAAGGGGAAGCUGUUUUGUUACAUUGUAAACACGGAGGAUUGUGAUGAUGUUUCUGUUUACUAUGUGAAUCAGUUGGACAAACGAAACAAUGCAAGCAACACAUUCACGAUAACUUGCUCUAUCCUUACAGUGGCAUUUUUUGUUUAAUCUUUCAUUAUCCUUUUUUUUCACAGAAGCGUAAGAAUGUGUUUUGGUGUUUUUGCAGGUCAAGCUUGAGUUGAGAAAUCAGUAAGUGUCUUGUUCAUGCAACAACUUCAUCCGUAUUGGAUUUCUAUGUAGGCAUAUUUUUUUUUGUGUUCACCAUGUAAACAAUAUUGAAAAAAUCCCGGCCCAGUUUGUUGUUAAGCGUUGGACUAGGGAUGUGCUUCCUAAAAGUUUAUUUUCUGUUGAGAGUCGCUACGGCGUCGACACCCGUCCACAAGCUGCUGCGAGAAGUCAGAUUCUUGAGAUUGUAACCAAGUGUGUAGACGCCUUAAGAAGUGAUGUUGAAGGACUUUCUUCUUUUGCUGAGCAGAUAAAGGAACUAAAAUGUAAGUUACUAAAUGGAGGACCAUUUGAUGAUGAAGCCAACAAUGAUAACUAUGCUGCUGUUGAAGAAUUGCUUGGUGUUUCUUUAGAUGGGGAUGUAACUCUCAACAAUCCAGACGGGAUCAGGAACAAAGGAUGCGACAAACGUCGAUGAUUGUGUAGACCAGCUUAGGACGCAAUGAGCAACUCUGCCGUCAAACCUCCCAAAACACCUAGGCUUUGCCGAACAUGUAUGAAGUACGUGACUGGACAUGAUUCAAGAAAUUGCAAGAAAAAGAAGAAGAAGAAGCAAUCGGCUAACGAGGAUGAAGACUCAACCUUUAGGAGUCAGGAGUCCACUUGAUUUGGUAUUUCUUUUAAUGCAUGUGCUGUGCGUGUUAUGAAAACUUUUAUAUUAGGUUUACCUUAUGAUGCCCGCUUUUUGGUCUCCAUUUUAGUGGAGCGCAACUAAACUUUGAUCAUCCUUUUUGUAUUUCUUGGGCUGCCUUUUAUACAUGCACAUGUUUGCAUGUGUAGAUUAUCUGAAAAUGGAUGCACAUGCAUAUGUUUGCAUGUUAGGAUGUUAGGAUGUAUGUAGUGUCACACCCCAACCGAUGGCGGAAACAUCGGGGUGCGAGCACUAAGCGUUCAGAUUGCUCAUGAGA